rnacentral:rRNA from 1 species
UACGUAGGGGGCAAGCGUUGUCCGGAUUUAUUGGGCGUAAAGAGCGUGUAGGCGGCCAGGUAGGUCUGCUGUGAAAACUCGAGGCUUAACCUCGAGAUGUCGGCGGAAACCAUCUGGCUAGAGUCCGGAAGAGGAGAAUGGAAUUCCCGGUGUAGCAGUGAAAUGCGUAGAUAUCGUAAGGAAGACCAGUGGCGAAGGCGAGUCUCUGGACAGUUACUGACGCUGAGGCACGAAGGCCAGGGGAGCAAACGGG